GAUGAACGCUGGCGGCGUGCCUAAUACAUGCAAGUCGAGCGAAUGGAUUAAGAGCUUGCUCUUAUGAAGUUAGCGGCGGACGGGUGAGUAACACGUGGGUAACCUGCCCAUAAGACUGGGAUAACUCCGGGAAACCGGGGCUAAUACCGGAUAACAUUUUGAACCGCAUGGUUCGAAAUUGAAAGGCGGCUUCGGCUGACACUUAUGGAUGGACCCGCGUCGCAUUAGCUAGUUGGUGGGGUAACGGCUCACCAAGGCAACGAUGCGUAGCCGGCCUGGGGGGGUGCUCGGCCACACUGGGACUGAGACACGGCCCAGACUCCUACGGGAGGCAGCAGUAGGGAAUCUUCCGCAAUGGACGAAAGUCUGACGGAGCAACGCCGCGUGAGUGAUGAAGGCUUUCGGGUCGUAAAACUCUGUUGUUAGGGAAGAACAAGUGCUAGUUGAAUAAGCUGGCACCUUGACGGUACCUAACCAGAAAGCCACGGCUAACUACGUGCCAGCCGCCGCGGUAA
rnacentral:rRNA from 1 species